GAGGAGGAGGAGGGAGCCACCCGUCCCUGUCCCUUUUAGCAAGGUGACCUGCGUGCCUCCAGCCCAAAUAUUCCAGCAUCCCCAAGCCGGCUGGGAACGGCCGUAACAAAGAGUGCCGGCGGCUCUUUGUGUCGUCUGGCGUUCCGGGCGCUCGCAGGCUUUCCAACUCAUCCACGGGGGCUGCAAACUUCCCUUCUGAACGAAAGCUGAGGGCUUUGCUUCUCUUCCCCGCAGUCACACGGAUUCAGGAGCUUGAACUGCGAGAGACGCAAUAAGCGAUUGUGUUACGAGCCUUGGCAGCGCCAAAUCCGUGAGCACGGGAUGGUGCAGACAGAAGAGUGCAGGUUACCUCUAACUCAGGUAAUGGAAAGUCUUACCUGGAUCUUCCCUGCUGAGGCUUGGAAUUUAGCAAAGGAAAAAGAUACCUGUAAGACUUGUCAGUGUACUGAACCAUAGUGGGAGGGCAGGAGGAAUCUGAAGAAGAUUUUCAAGCACUAAGCAUAAAAAUAAAUGACAACAUAAAACCCAUGUGAAGAAGGAAGAAAGCAUUUACAUUUGUCUUAUUUUCAGAUACAAAUAAUUGCAUCCAAUAACCCUCACAAUCAUGCAAUAUGUAGCUUUGUAAUCAAAAAUAAUUUGAGGCAAGUUUUUGAAAACAUUCCCAGUUUAACAUCAAAUAGUUGCUGUGUGAUAAGAACACAGAUGUGUGGGAGGCCUUUCAA